rnacentral:tRNA from 16 species
AGUUAAUGAGCUGAAAUAAGCAU